UUUUAUGGAGAGUUUGAUCCUGGCUCAGGACGAACGCUGGCGGCGUGCCUAAUACAUGCAAGUCGAGCGGAGUUUUAAAAGCUUGCUUUUAAAACUUAGCGGCGGACGGGUGAGUAACACGUGGGCAACCUGCCCUGUAGACUGGGAUAACUUCGGGAAACCGAAGCUAAUACCGGAUAAUCUUUGGAACUUCAUGGUUCUAAAGUAAAAGUUGGGUUUACCUAACACUACGGGAUGGGCCCGCGGCGCAUUAGCUAGUUGGUAAGGUAACGGCUUACCAAGGCGACGAUGCGUAGCCGACCUGAGAGGGUGAUCGGCCACACUG
rnacentral:rRNA from 1 species